GACAGCAGUCGCCGCGGUAAUACAGAGGGUGCGAGCGUUAAUCGGAUUUACUGGGCGUAAAGCGUGCGUAGGCGGCUUCUUAAGUCGGAUGUGAAAGCCCCGGGCUCAACCUGGGAACUGCAUCCAAAACUGGCAAGCUAGAGUACGGUAGAGGGUGGUGGAAUUUCCUGUGUAGCGGUGAAAUGCGUAGAUAUAGGAAGGAACACCAGUGGCGAAGGCGACCACCUGGACUGAUACUGACACUGAGGUGCGAAAGCGUGGGGAGCAAACAGGAUUAGAUACCCGUGUAGUCCCUGUCUCUUAUAC
rnacentral:rRNA from 1 species